rnacentral:rRNA from 1 species
UACACUCCUACGGGAGGCAGCAGUGGGGAAUUUUGGACAAUGGGCGAAAGCCUGAUCCAGCAAUGCCGCGUGCAGGAUGAAGGCCUUCGGGUUGUAAACUGCUUUUGUACGGAACGAAAAAGCUCCUUCUAAUACAGGGGGCCCAUGACGGUACCGUAAGAAUAAGCACCGGCUAACUACGUGCCAGCAGCCGCGGUAAUACGUAGGGUGCGAGCGUUAAUCGGAAUUACUGGGCGUAAAGCGUGCGCAGGCGGUUAUGUAAGACAGAUGUGAAAUCCCCGGGCUCAACCUGGGAACUGCAUUUGUGACUGCAUGGCUAGAGUACGGUAGAGGGGGAUGGAAUUCCGCGUGUAGCAGUGAAAUGCGUAGAUAUGCGGAGGAACACCGAUGGCGAAGGCAAUCCCCUGGACCUGUACUGACGCUCAUGCACGAAAGCGUGGGGAGCAAACAGGAUUAGAUACCCGUGUAGUCCCA